rnacentral:rRNA from 1 species
AAUAGAUACCCUGGUAGUCCAUGCCGUAAACGUCGGGAACUAGAUGUGGGGCCAUUCCACGGCUUCCGUGUCGCAGCUAACGCAUUAAGUUCCCCGCCUGGGGAGUACGGCCGCAAGGCUAAAACUCAAAGGAAUUGACGGGGGCCCGCACAAGCGGCGGAGCAUGCGGAUUAAUUCGAUGCAACGCGAAGAACCUUACCAAGGCUUGACAUAUACGAGAACGCUUCAGAAAUGAAGAACUCUUUGGACACUCGUAUACAGGUGGUGCAUGGUUGUCGUCAGCUCGUGUCGUGAGAUGUUGGGUUAAGUCCCGCAACGAGCGCAACCCUCGUUCUAUGUUGCCAGCGCGUUAUGGCGGGAACUCAUAGGAGACUGCCGGGGUCAACUCGGAGGAAGGUGGGGAUGACGUCAAAUCAUCAUGCCCCUUAUGUCUUGGGCUUCACGCAUGCUACAAUGGCCGGUACAAAGGGCUGCAAUACCGCAAGGUGGAGCGAAUCCCAAAAAGCCGGUCUCAGUUCGGA